CACUGCUUUUAAAUCAAGUUAUCUGUCUCUUUCUAGAUGGAGAAAUAUCUUCCUCUUUCUUUUUUAAUAAGGUAUGAUAUAGUGGAAGGAGGAAACAUUUUCAGAAAUAGCUCUAGUAAUCUCUGAGAGACUCCAGAAAAAGUCUGGAAGGAACAGUCAAUUGCACACACUUGAAUCUGGAUGUUUUAUUAUUCGGAUUUUUUUGACAAAACUAUGAGAAAACCUCCCCCAGAUGGAUGCCUGUGUUUCAUAUCUACUACCCAUCUGGCAACCAGACAUACCUGAAAUGGUUCGGAAAAGUGGAAAAAAAAAAUCAGGCUUUAAAAGAUCUGAGCUCCUUAAAAAUUUGGCUCAAUAUGCAGUACAAAGUGUCUGUCUGUUGUGUACCACCUUCUCACGCUGUUUUCCUUCAAAUUUCAGACAUAUAAGGAAUUGGUUGCAUGGUUUACUAGAAAAUGUGGUAUGGAUAGAUACAUUUGUAAUUUGAUUUGUCUGGCUGUAUAUAGUAAGCACUGUAAUAAUAUAGCAUUAUCCUGUAUUAUAUGGCAUGCUCUCAAAUGCACCCAGGGAGAUCCACCCUGGGUGGAGAGCAUGGAGCUUGGCUGAGCAUGGUGGCUUUUUAAAAAAAUAAAGUAACACAUGCCUGGGACCUUAAGUUUAUCACUUAACCUCUUAGUGAAUGAAGUUGUCUUGAGUACAUUUGGUCCUGAGUGGACCAAAAUGCAUUUCUACUGAAAUAUGAUUGACUGUGGGAGAUUUUUGUGCUCUGCUUAGGUUUAGGAGUUUAUUCAAUGUCAUCAUUGUAAAACUUUCACUUGUAUGUUAUUUUGGCAAAGCUUUUCUUUUGCAAAAUAUUUUUUAUAAGCCUGGUGGCAGUGGAAUGAUAUUUUUAUUCAGAAAGAAAAAAUAACUUUGCUACUGUACUAACUCUUCUCCCUCCUCUCUGGGAGUAGUCCAAAAAUAAUGCAUCAUAAGAUGAACUAUGUAUUAUGCACUUGUACUUACUUUUACUGAAACUCAAAGCAACACAGUAUCUUCUAGUUGGUAAAACAAUAGAACUUAAAAGAUAAAUCCAUAAAUGAGCAAGAACAAAGAAAUUUUGGCUUUUGCCUUUGGGAUCACCCAUUAGCAGAUUUUCUUUACUUAUUUUUCAAUUUGCAUGCCAUAUUUUCAAGGCAGUUGUGAAGUGAAGCAAUCAAAACUAGCAGAGGUGGAGCAUCAAAAUCUCCAGUUCAUAUGAAACCAACAUUGAUCUAAAUUUGCCACAGUGUCAAUAUGCCAUCACAGACGUAAAUAGCAUGUGCCUAUUAAACAAAGGAAAGAAGCUUCCUUGGACUUAUUUUCAGGUAUAAAAAAACCCCUAAAUUUUCUGCCUUUUGUAUUUGUUUUUCCCUUAUGAAAAUUACAUGCAGGUCUUGGCAUACUAUAAAAAAUCCAAUAAACUUAGUCUUUGUAAA